rnacentral:misc_RNA from 1 species
GAUGAAGAACGCAGCGAAAUGCGAUAAGUAAUGUGAAUUGCAGAAUUCAGUGAAUCAUCGAAUCUUUGAACGCACCUUGCGCUCCUUGGUAUUCCGAGGAGCAUGCCUGUUUGAGUGUCAUGAAAUUCUCAACCUUUUCAGCUUUCUUUGUUGAUCAGGCUUGGAUGUGGGAGUAUGCGGGCUUCUCAGAAGUCGGCUCUCCUGAAAUGCAGUAGCGGGACCUUUGUUGCCUGGCUUUGGUGUGAUAAUUAUCUACGCCAUUGUAGUCAAGCAGCUUAAAAUGAGGUUUCAGCUUCUAACCGUCUCCCCUGAGACAACUUUUUGACAAUUUGACCUCAAAUCAGGUAGGACUACCCGCUGAACUUAAGCAUAUCAAUAAGCGGAGGA